GCAGUGAGCACAGAGCGAACUAUUCUUUCGCCUUUAACUAAAGAAUACCGUGUGCUUGUUGUAGAUAGCGGCAUACACCAAUUUUUGGAGGGGCUUUCCCGGUAGGGAUUGUCCCAACCAAUUCUAGUUUAAGUGUCUUAUUUUCACAAAAUAAUAUGUGAAAGAUUUAGCCUUCUUGACUUUAAGCAAUAUAUUUUCUUAAGAGUCAAUUUAAUUUGUAAUGCAAUUUUUAAUUGUGAGUAACUAAAUCUUGAAAUUAAUUGAGUUCGUUGUUUGACUGCAAUUUGUUUCAUCUUUUUAUGAGAUGAAAUCUCAUAUCGUUGAUAUGCUAAAUUCAGGUUUAUAGAUUUUUGCUGAAUUGUAGCAAAAUGGUG
rnacentral:lncRNA from 1 species